GACGAACGCUGGCGGCAGGCCUAAUACAUGCAAGUCGAAGGUAGUGGCGCACAGGGGAGUAAUAUAUAGCUAAUCUGCCCCUUGCUAGAGGACAACAGUCAGCAAUGACUGCUAAUAACCCAUAGAAAGGGAUGCGACUAUAUCGUAUCAGCUAGUCGGUGGGGUAACGGCCUACCGAGGGUAUGACGCGUAACUGGUCUGAGAGGAUGAUCGGUCACAUUGGAACGGAGACACGGUCCAAACUCCUACGGGAGGCAGCAGUAGGGAAUAUUGCGCAAUGGGGGAAACCCUGACGCAGCAACGCCGCGUGGAGGAUGACACUUUGCGGAGCGUAAACUCCGUUUGUUAGGGAAGCGGUACCUAACGAAUAAGCACCGGCUAACUCCGUGCCAGCAGCCGCGGUAAUAC
rnacentral:rRNA from 1 species